CCCUCCUCCUCUCAUCCUCGUUCGAGCUCUCUCGCCGCCUCCCUCCCUGUCUCAUCACUAAAACUAGGGCCACCCUCACUCCGUCUCUCGUCGCCAAAACCAUCGCCGCCCUCCUCCUAGGGAUCUCGAGAUGGAAUCGCCCAAGAUUACAGAGUCUCCGGUUGAUAAAAUAUGUGAAUCUGCGACGGCGGCGACUAGGGUUCAGAAAGUCUACAGGAGUUAUCGGACCCGGCACAGGUUAGCAGACUCCGCUGUGGUCGUGGAGGAGCUCUGGUUGGACAGGGUUUGUCAAAAGAUUCCAAAGCCCUAAAGCUCGCGUUUCAGCACUGGAUUGAAGCUAUUGAUCCAAGGCAUCGCUAUGGGCAUAAUCUGCACAUGUACUACGAUAAAUGGUGUGAAAGUGAUGCUGGCCAGCCAUUCUUUUACUGGUAAUCUCCUAAUUUUUCAUUUUUUUGCUCAAAUUAUUCGAUGGUAAUACUUGUAUCAUCAGUGUGAAAUAUUUUGGCCUAUGUACUUGUGAGCUUUCCAAAUUAAACCUUUUUCACACCAAGGCAUACUUUUUUGAGUCCAGCGUGAGUUUUUCUGUAAAGUCUUCUCUUUGUGGUCAAGUAGCGUCCCUUUUUUAUUUCUGAGAUCAACUAGUUGUAUUGUUGUCCUUAGGAAAAAGCAAUGUUUUGAUUGUUUUAAGCAAGACGGGUGCUUUUAGGGAUGUUUUAAUAUGAUUAUAUGAGUGCUUUUACCUUUGUUCUCAACUUAGGAUUUGAUUAUUUACUGAUAUAGAAGGAUAAAGUUUGGUAGUCCUGGAUCUAGGCACGCUUGCCCUUUCACUGUGGCCCUUGGUGUUUGGUUAUUUUGGUCUCCUGCUCUUGCAGCUAUUUUCCGGCUGGCUUUGCUCGCCACUCCUCCGGUGCUGCUACAUUUUAUCCUCCUCUACAUUGAAAGGUAUGUGAGUUGUUUUGGAUUAAUAUCAUCAAAAACUACGUGAUCCGCAAUUGUUCAACUAAGAGGGUUAAAGUAUAUACAUAAAAGGUUGACUAACGUUCAUGAUUAAUGUUGUAUCUCUAAAGUUGUUUUGGAUCAAUAU